rnacentral:lncRNA from 1 species
CCACUACAAUUGAACCAUUUCUCACUCCGGUUAGAGCUGUGUGGUGCUGGUGAACCAACAGGCAAACAGAUCAGUGGAAGAGAAUAUAAAGUUAUAAAGAAUUAGACCCAAAUCCAUGUGAAUACAGUACACAACAGGGUGGCCCCUCAAAUCACAAGCGUAAAGAUGACAUAAUUAAUAAAUUUUGACGACAGUUCCAUCAACAGCUGGAGGGGAGACAUCAGCAGGUUCACCACAGACAAAAAGUCAAGAUUCCAAGAUAUAAAGAGCUUACAAGUUAAGGGACAUCACAAUCACCAGAUGACCAUGACCAUAACCAGAGAGGGGACAGGCAUUGGCAGGAAUAUGAAGAAAUUGGACAGUGCUGGUGGGAAUUCAAAAUAGCACAGCUUCCCGGGAAAACAGGCAGAUCCUGAAAAUGGUGAACACACAGCUGGAAUUCUACUCCUACACAUAACUGAAGGAAAAUAGAAAAGAUGGCCACGUAAGAGCUCAUGUGGAUGCUCAUAGCACCUGCUGUCAACACAGCCCCAAAGUGGAGGCUUAAACAUUCAUCAACAGGUGAAGGGACAAACAAACAUGGUACACAACGGAAUAUUAUUCAUAAAAAGGAAUGAAAUCUUGGAUUACACAAUGACACAGGGAAACCCAGAAAACGUGCUAAGGGAAAGGAAAGUCAGUCACAAAUUCAAGCUUAGGACAUUUCCACAAGGUAACUGAUAGAUUGUCCUCAGAAUGUCAGAAUUGCCGGGCACAGUGGCACUUGCCUGUAAUCCCUGCAGCUUGUAGGCUGAGGCAGGAGGAUUGAGAGUUCAAAGCCAGCCUUAGCAAAAAAGCAAUUCAGUGAGACCCACUGAGGUGGCUCAGUGGUUGAGUGACCCUGAGUUUAAUCCCUGAUUACCCCCCCCCAAAAAACCUGUCAGAAUUAUGAAAAAUAGAGAAACACUGGUGCUCACUGAAAGCAACAAAGGACAAAUAGUAACAGAAUGCUAUGUGACAUUCUGUGUAGGGUUUCAGAACACUGAAAGGACAUGUGUGAAAAAAUUAGUGGAAUUACAAUAAGCACGGUAGCUUGGCAAAUAAUAUAGUACACUACUGAGCCACAUCCCCAGCCCUUUUUAUAUUUAUUUAGAGAAAGAGUCUCGAUUAUUGCUUAGGGCCUCUUGCUAAAUUGCUGAGGCUGGCUUGGAACUCACAAUCCUCCCCUCUCAGCCUCCAGAGCUGCUGGGAUCACAGGCGUGCACCACCAUGCUCAGAAAAUUUCUUGGUUUGGGUAGUUGGCUAUGGUAAUAUUAAAAUGGAAUUAGGGGAAGACGAGUGAAGGAUAUAAAUGAAACUGCACUACCUUUGCAAUUUUUCUGUCAACCCCAAAUCAUAAAGUUAUUCUCUGACACAGGAAGAGAAAUAGAAUUCAAAAUUAAAAAUCUGUCCAUUCUUACUUACCUUCAUUAAAUGACCACAAUCAUGAUGGGUGUCACACUGGAAAGUCUCCAAAGAUGCAAAGUGUACUCACUACCUCGCGCAUGCUUACAACUAGGGCACUCAGGGUACCUGCAGAGCCUAGGUAUGAUAAAAAGGGAAACUGUCCCAAGAGUCAGUUCAGUGACCUCUUACAGGAUUUAGGUGAUUCUUGAAAGUUCUCAUCAGCCGCCCUAAUUAGACUACUUCAUCUAAAUCUAUUUUGGAUUUUAUUCUAAUCAGAUUAGCACGUUUAGAGGGAGGAUAAGCCCUUGAACUUAUCUGUCAUAGUCGCUCCUGGUGCUGACCUGGAGUCCCAGCCACUGGAGGCUGAGGCAGGAGGAUGGCAGAUUCAAGGUCAGCCUCAGCAGUUGGUGAGACCCUGUCUUAAAAAAAAAAAAAAAGAAAAAGAAAAACAACUAAAAGGGCUGCGGAUGUGGCUCAGUGGUUAAGCCCCUGGGUUCAGUCCCCCGUCCAAAAAAGAAAAAGUCCAUUGUACAGUUUGCAUCUGGAGCAGCCAGAGGGCCGCCAUUAAAGGCAUGGGCCGCCAAGGGGCAGGCGACUGGGCCUCCUAGGAGGUCCUCAGGUCCUGGGGGAUUGCAGGACCUCAGCCUCCUCUUCCACUUCCUAGCCUGUCAUGGACUGGCUCCUCCAAAACUGUGAGCCAAACAAGCCUUCUCUCUUUCUAAGUUGCUUACCUCUGGUAUUUUCUUUUGUACCAGGGAUUGAACUCAGGGGCACUAGACCUGAGCCACCUCCCCAGCCCUGUUUUGCAUUUUUUUAGAGACAGGGUCUCAUGAGUUGCUAAGUACCUCACCGUUGCUGAGGCUGGCUUUGAACUGUGAUCCUCCUGCCUCUGCCUCCCUAGCCACUGGGAUUACAGGCGUGCACCAUGGCGCGGGCUGGGUAUGACCUCACAGUGAUCGAAGCCGACCCUCGGAGCCCUCUUAUUACAAAAUGUCUUUUGUGGGAUUGAGUCAUCCAUCAAGGCAUCUGCAGAGGCACAGAGGUGCAGCUGUGCCCUGGAGAACACUUCUUAUUUAUUUUAUUUAUUUGGUACCAAGAUUGAACCCAGGAACCAACCACCAAACCACAUUUUUUAAUCUUAUUUUGAGACAGGAUCUCACAAAAUUGUUCAGGGUCUUACUAAGUUGAGGCUGCCUGUGAACUCAGGAUCCUCCUGCCUCAGCCUCAUGAGCCACUGGGAUUCCAGGCGUGGGCCACUGCACCAGGGGAGGCAUUACUUCAAUGCUGUUUCCACUGUGGAGCUGGAGUUGACACCAGGUACCACAGGAAGGCCCCACAGCCAGCCUGCGCUGACGUCAGAGCCUGUUUGUCCCCAUCCCUGCCCCCGUCCUCAGCCAUGUUAUUUUGCCGUGCC